rnacentral:sRNA from 1 species
AAUUUGUUGAGGGCAAAUGUAAUGAAUAUGGCUAUCAAAUCCCCCUGCAGUUAAAAUUUUUCCCUCCCCAGCGAUAAUUUCUGUGCCAGGGCCAAUUAUUAUAUCAAUGUUUGGUUGGGUAUCUGGGUUACCAGCCUUACCUAUUGCCUCUAUCUUUCCAUCUCUGAGAGCGACAUCUGCUUUAAAUAUGCCUGUGUAAUCAAGGAUUAGAGCAUUUGUGAUUACUGUAUCAGGUGCUCCAUUAGCUCUUGUUACUUGCGACUGCCCCAUUCCGUCGCG